UGAGUGCUUGAUGUGUGCCAGGUGAUUGA
rnacentral:piRNA from 1 species